UAGCCCGAACGCACAAUUGGU
rnacentral:miRNA from 1 species